AAAUCAAUGGUAUUCAUAUUUUUUCUUCACCAUAAAUAAAAAAGAGCAGAAAGUAAUAUAAAUAAACUCUUUGGGACUUACUGAUUUGUAAUCAAUAGGUCCGCGGUUCGAAUCCGUGCGGGGGCACCA
rnacentral:tRNA from 1 species